rnacentral:rRNA from 1 species
UACGUAGGGAGCAAGCGUUGUCCGGAAUCAUUGGGCGUAAAGAGCGCGUAGGCGGUCCGGUAAGUCGGUUGUGAAAACUGGGGGCUCAACCCUCAGAGGCCGACCGAUACUGCCGGGCUAGAGUCCGGAAGAGGCGAGUGGAAUUCCUGGUGUAGCGGUGAAAUGCGCAGAUAUCAGGAGGAACACCGAUGGCGAAGGCAGGUCUCUGGGCAUUAACUGACGCUGAGGAGCGAAAGCAUGGGGAGCGAACAGG